rnacentral:rRNA from 1 species
CCCUUAGAUGUUCUGGGCCGCACGCGCGCUACACUGAUGCAUUCAACGAGUUUCUUCCUGGUCCGAGAGGAAUGGGUAACCUUUUGAAAGUGCAUCGUGAUAGGGAUAGACUAUUGCAAUUAUUGGUCUUCAACGAGGAAUUCCUAGUAGACGUAGUUCAUCAGACUGCAUCGAUUACGUCCCUGCCCUUUGUACACACCGCCCGUCGCUUCUACCGAUUGAGUGGUCCGGUGAGGCUUUGGGAUCUGAGCGGAAAGAGCGUUUCGCUGUUUCUGCUCGGAAAACUCAGUCGAACCUUAUCAUUUAGAGGAAGGAGAAGUCGUAACA